rnacentral:rRNA from 1 species
CCUACGGGUGGCAGCAGUGGGGAAUAUUGCACAAUGGGCGCAAGCCUGAUGCAGCGACGCCGCGUGCGGGAUGGAGGCCUUCGGGUUGUAAACCGCUUUUGUUCAAGGGCAAGGCACGGUCUUUGGCCGUGUUGAGUGGAUUGUUCGAAUAAGCACCGGCUAACUACGUGCCAGCAGCCGCGGUAAUACGUAGGGUGCAAGCGUUAUCCGGAUUUAUUGGGCGUAAAGCGCUCGUAGGCGGUAUGUCAAGUCAAGGGUGAAAUCCCCGCGCUCAACGUGGGAACUGCCUUUGAAACUGGCAAACUGGAGUGUGUGAGAGGAUAGUGGAAUUCCAGGUGUAGGAGUGAAAUCCGUAGAUAUCUGGAGGAACAUCAGUGGCGAAGGCGACUAUCUGGCACAUAACUGACGCUGAGGAGCGAAAGCGUGGGUAGCAAACAGGAUUAGAUACCCUUGUAGUC